rnacentral:rRNA from 1 species
GUCAACUAGUUGUUGGGGAUUUACUUCCUUGGUAACGUAGCUAACGCGUGAAGUUGACCGCCUGGGGAGUACGGCCGCAAGGUUAAAACUCAAAGGAAUUGACGGGGACCCGCACAAGCGGUGGAUGAUGUGGAUUAAUUCGAUGCAACGCGAAAAACCUUACCUACCCUUGACAUGGCAGGAACUUUCCAGAGAUGGAUUGGUGCUCGAAAGAGAACCUGCACACAGGUGCUGCAUGGCUGUCGUCAGCUCGUGUCGUGAGAUGUUGGGUUAAGUCCCGCAACGAGCGCAACCCUUGUCAUUAGUUGCUACGAAAGGGCACUCUAAUGAGACUGCCGGUGACAAACCGGAGGAAGGUGGGGAUGACGUCAAGUCCUCAUGGCCCUUAUGGGUAGGGCUUCACACGUCAUACAAUGGUCGGUACAGAGGGUUGCCAAGCCGCGAGGUGGAGCCAAUCCCAGAAAACCGAUCGUAGUCCGGAUCGCAGUCUGCAACUCGACUGCGUGAAGUCGGAAUCGCUAGUAAUCGCGGAUCAGAAUGCCGCGGUGAAUACGUUCCCGGGUCUUGUACACACCGCCCGUCACACCAUGGGAGUGGGUUCUACCAGAAGUGGCUAGUCUAACCGCAAGGAGGACGGUCACCACGGUAGGAUUCAUGACUGGGGUGAAGUCGUAACAAGGUAACCGUAAAGGG